rnacentral:lncRNA from 1 species
CUAUGAGUAGUGUGAAGUGCAGGAAGGAGAGGAAAGUUGGUAGUUCAAAGGGUUUACAAAAGAGUAAGUUGGAGAGUUGCACACACGGGUAAUGGUAAAGGGGACAAAUAUAUCACAUGCAAACUCACAAACCAAAAGUUUUAAGAGACCUUUCAUAGUCGGAUUUAGACACAGAGUAAGUAGCAACAAAAUUCAAUCGUGAUAGUUGAAC